rnacentral:tRNA from 1 species
UUCUUAGUGGCUCAGAGGGUAAAGCGUCUGCCUGCAAUGCGGGAGACCCAGGUUCGAUUCCCGGGUCAGGAA